UUCCAGCAAAUCGAAGCAGACAUGAAGUUCUCCUACUUGAUCUCUGUUUUUUUCCUCUUUUCUUCCCUCUUCCUGCUAAGGGAUUCAGCUUACGCUUCUAAACCAUCUAACCCAUCUUACCCACCACAAUCGAAGGAGGAAUGUGACAAAUUCAAAGGGAAGUGCAUGCUGGAGAGGUGCAUGACUGCCUGGAAAAGAGUCGGGAAAUGCCUGCCAGACAAAGUCUGCUGCACACUUCCGUAAUGGAGUCGCACGAGAAUUGGCUGCUUUGAGGUUUUCUACAAUCAAGC